rnacentral:rRNA from 1 species
UACGAGGGGGGCAAGCGUUGUUCGGAUUUACUGGGCGUAAAGGGCGCGUAGGCGGCGUGGUAAGUCACUUGUGAAAUCUCUGAGCUUAACUCAGAACGGCCAAGUGAUACUGCUGUGCUAGAGUGCAGAAGGGGCAAUCGGAAUUCUUGGUGUAGCGGUGAAAUGCGUAGAUAUCAAGAGGAACACCUGAGGUGAAGACGGGUUGCUGGGCUGACACUGACGCUGAGGCGCGAAAGCCAGGGGAGCAAACGGG